AACGAACGCUGGCGGCAGGCUUAACACAUGCAAGUCGAGCGCAUCCUUCGGGGUGAGCGGCGGACGGGUGAGUAACGCGUGGGAACGUGCCCUCUUCUACGGAAUAGCCUCGGGAAACUGAGAGUAAUGCCGUAUACGCCCGCAAGGGGAAAGAUUUAUCGGAGGAGGAUCGGCCCGCGUUGGAUUAGGUAGUUGGUGGGGUAACGGCCUACCAAGCCGACGAUCCAUAGCUGGGUUGAGAGGAUGAUCAGCCACACUGGGACUGAGACACGGCCCAGACUCCCAACGGAAGCAGGAAGUGGGGAACCUUGGCAAUGGGGGCAACCCAGAUCCAACCAAGGCGGGGGGACGGUGAAAGGCUUAGGGGUUGUAAAAACUUUCAACGGGGAAGGUUAUGACGGUACCAAGAAGAGAAGCCCCGGCUAACUCCGUG
rnacentral:rRNA from 1 species